CCAGCAGCAGAGAGAGCGCAGGAUGAGCAGCAUAAAUGUGGAGCAGAGACACAGAUGCAACAGAGACCUCCUCAACACAAGCAACACCAGAACCUUCCACCAGAAGAAACCAACCUCGACAUGGCUCUCUAUGCUGACCUCGCUCUUCAGGACACCGUGAAGGAGCAACUCUUCAUGUGUAAACUUCACAUGUUGGAAAGGAAAUGCAGCACAGGAGUGGAAAAGCUGAAGGCUCUGAUUGGGGAACACCUGCAGAAUGGCAUCCCUCUUUCAGACAUCCUGGAGAAAAUAAAAUCCCUGCUCACGUUGAGGAAAGCUCUGCUGUCGCACAACGGCUACUCCAAAUAUUCAAGGGACAUUUUAUGUCUGUUUCCUGAUGCAGAGGAAGACUUGGCUCCACUGUGCCUCUAAAAACAACUGGACAGAAAUUGCUGCAGUUUUGUGAUCUGCCAGUGGACUACCAGUGUUAGUGAUGCUGACAGCAUCUGUGUUGAAAAUCUACUGACUGAACAGAAAUGCGUUAUUUGCAUAAUGACAAGGAGACCAACAAUGCUUGUUUUACACAUUUACAGAAGAUUUCUUUUUAGGGUUGUAAAAGAAAAGCUGUUCCGCCUCAUCUGAUGUUGUUUCAGUUUUAACAGUGACCUGAAGAAGAUAAUAAGGGUUCAAAGUCAAAAGUGAAGAGACUAUUGAUGGCACAAAAGGCCUUAGUUAUAUUAUGGUAUGCUGCUAUUUGUGGGAUUUAUGAUUCUUGUGGUCCAACAAGACCACAGAAGAUAAAUCCAGUCUCUUAACUAUGCAACAAUUCAUUGUUGAUGUUUAGAUAUUACAGAAUGUUUUAAUGGAUUUUAUUUUACCAUCAGAUUUUUUUUUACUGUUUAACGUGACUGAAAUUGACCAUUUGACACCAAAUAGCAACGCUAACCUGUGACAAUAGUGAAUAGGUUAGCAUUGUGUGAUUACAUUUUGCAUAUCAGUCUUACUGCCUUGUUUCAAGGUUUAGUGUAUAAUAUCCUUUAAUACCUACCUUUCUUCUGAAAAGGGUUUCACCAUUGUUUUGUUCAUGCUGUGUAUGCUUAUCAUUUUUAUUCAUCACUUUUAUUUUUAUUCAUCCAAAAUGGAUUUAAAUUUGUUUUUGUGUUUUUACAUAUUUUGAGAAAAUAAAUAUCUGAAAAUAAAA
ensembl:lncRNA